UACCGAGUACACCCACGAAUUGUUUUGAUGCUAAAACACUGCGCUGCUGCUUCUCUUGUCGCUCGUCGCUCUUAUUUGUGUGUGUGUCUCUUGUAUUUUUACCUCUUCUUAUAUUGUGUAUCUCAUUGUUGAUAUAUUUUUUUUUAAAUUUUUUUCUUUCACUUUUAGUUUAAACAAAAAUAAAUUUAAAUAAAAUAGAAAAAAAAAAUAGAAAAAACGGCACACAGCUCGCUCUAACUGCCGCGAUGUAUUGCAAAUUAAAACUUAAUUCUUUUUCUUAACCAAACACAAGAAAAAAAAAUUACAAAAAAAAAAAAAAUAAGUAUCUAAACCAUUUGUGUGUGGCAACAUAAACCUUCGAUAAAUUGAUUUAUAUCUAUAUAUUGUGUCGGUUUUAAGCUUAACGUUAUAUUGCAAAAAUAAAAAAAACCAUCCCUGGCAAAGGCUUAGAAAAGCAAAAGAAACACACACGAAACAAAAAAAAAAAAAACGAAGAAAAAAGAAGCGAAAUAAAACAAAAAGCUGAUCCAAAACCGCAUACACAAUACAACGGGUCACCUAGGCGUAUACGCAACUUAAUUUGUCUUCCUCAUUCGGGCUGUUGCCAAAUUGUUUGUUACAGAUCAGAUUUUUUCUUUCUCUCGGGUUAAAUUUGUUUAUUUUUUGUUCUAAAUUUUGAGAAAAAAAGGGUUUUCAAGGUUUUUUUUUGUAUCUAUUUUGGAAAAUAAAAUCCAUAAAAUAUGAGUGCAAUGCAAUAUUCGGUGAAAUAUUUUUUGAUAAAAAUAAAAUAAUUUUUAUCAAAUAAAAUUGAAAAAUAAAAAAAAAAAAAUUCUAAAUUAUUUGUUUCUAUAAAAAUUAAAAAAAAAAAAAAUAAAUAAACGACGAAAAAAGAUCCUUGCAGCUGUUACGGCCACCCCCCCCAAAGGAGGAAUAUAAAAAGGAGAAGAACUUUUCCAAUUGAUGCUCGGUUUAAAACAAACAUAAAGGACAAUUUUCAGUCAAAAGCCCUUCAGGGUACACCAAACUGGCACAUCAAUUUUGGUUUUCUUAUCCGCCACCCGGCGCUGGUGGAGGUUCUUCGAGCACUAUACAAAUUGGAGAAUUCAAUUUUUGUUGUUUACAAUACUGAAGCGUACGGAUUUUGGAAAAUGAGAUACUAUCGUGAAAUUUGGUACAGAUUGUUAUCAGACACGGUAAUACCAACUUAUAAAAAUUUAAAAUACUUGUCCCUAGCGAAAUGACAAUUCAUUUCGCUGUAAAUCGAGACAUAGUUUCUUUAUCGCAAGUUAAAGGGGAUAGGAAAAUUUUGCUUGUAUUUAAGGUUUCAACUCAAUAAAGUAUGAUACAUAUUGGGUGAAAAACCAGUGCAUUUAGGGUAAGAGAUGCCGGGGACUUACUUGUUUUUAAAUAAAAUGCACAA